AAAGACAAUUGGUUAAAGUCAUCGAUUCAGUUACCCUCUGCUUACCUCCACCACUACGAGGGCACACAGCGAUGUAUCAUUCACACAGAGGAGGUGUGAUGCAGCGUGAAAGGGAACUGGGAGGAACGUGAGACUGCUCAGAACUGACUUCUGCCUGAGACAUGGUAACUCCAUCUCUUGAUUAGAAGGAUACAGUAAACCAAGUAACCACAGCUUGUAGUGAUUUUAAUUAUAGUUUGCAGUCCUGUUCCAUCCUUAAGGGUGCAAAGGAGAGAUGCUGCACUUGCCUAACUGGAAAAGAAGGGCAGGAUUUCCUCCUGGAAAACAGCCUUAGGAAAAUGAGCCAGACAUACAACAGCUGAGCAGUGCAUCCUCUAUGUGUAUCUAUGAAUGUUUUGUCCUGAAAAGCUGGCUCUGGCUUGUAGAGAACAUAUGGAUAUUCACAUAGCUAGUUAUUUUCCUUCUCAGUGCAACUGAUUGACAUUUAUAUUUCUUGGAGGUACAAACACUGCAGAAGCAUGGUGUUUAUAAGAAGUUAUUUCCUCACCCUGUCUAAUGUGAUAAGGACAAACUGUUUCACAUUCCUUGUCUAUAUUUAUUUUAGCAUUUUAUUGCCCCAAAUGAUUCUUAAUAUUUGGGUUGACCUUAAGCUCUGAUGCAGAGGGAAAAUCUGUUCUAAAAUCCUCAGCACUACUGACAGCUCUUGUGCUCCACCACCGCUCUGGACUGUCAAGAAAUUCCUGAAGACUUCCAUGUGCCACAAUCUGAAGCAGCACUGAAUGAAAUCAUUAUUCCCCUUUUAUUGCUUUUGAAUGAGCAUUUUUUUCCAUUAAAUGCUGAUUUACUUUUAUAUUAUGAGACAGUGAGAACAGACCUUCCCAAGAACUUCUCCAGACUGUACUGACAAUCCCAUUCUAAAGCAAUGAUCUUGCUUUUCUUUUUUUUUUUCUCCAUUUUUUUUCCUUGCAUAUGAAGGUGAAAACAAGAAUAAUCUUCAUGUGGUAAAGUAUUUAUGGUUAUUUUCUUGAAGAGUCCAACUGCCCCAUAAAUUCUACUUUAGUAAGUGUCUUCUUUUUAAGGAAUGUUUUAUUCCUUAAAAGACCUUUCUUCUUUUAUUAAGCAUCUGAUUUUUGAUGCCACAUUACACUACUGACAAGUAUAUUAUGACAUGUAUAUAUGAGGCCAUUUCUAAAUGCAAGAACAGUUGAGUACUUAAGGAACUGCAGCUUGAAAACAAACCAUGAUGUUCUGUCAAUGAAACGCAGGAGGAAAUGAAGAUGAAGGAAAUAAAACCCACAUGGUGCCUGAAAAGAGGUUUAAUUUUCUAUACUUGAAGCAGCUAUGGUUAGUUUUCCAAACUAAGAAUACAAUUCACUCUCCUUUGAGCAUCAUCUCAAAAUAGCCCCUACACCUGCGUCAACAGGAAGCGAAGAAAAUGAGAAUGUGUAUCUGGCCACACCGAGGCUCACCUCUUCAAACCUUCUGUCUUUUUGUUAUUAGAAUUAAAAGGGGGAAAACAAGAGUGGAACAGCAGUGUUUCGCAUAGUUUAAGUAUCUGGGGGGAAAGGGCUUUCCUGGGACUUGGUUCUCUGCCCGUGGCUGAAGCAGCUGGAGAGGAGGCUGGCUCCCUGGUGCUUGCUGCUCUCCAUGGCCCCACCGGCUGCCCCUCAGACGUGCUGGCCAAACCACCUUGAGGAAACUCCCCCAGGGCAAGGACCUCGGGAACUGCACAACGUGUUUGCUACAGCUGACAGAUCCAUUUAAGAUACAAAUAUUGAUUAGAGCAUAUACAUACAUAUAUGAAAUAUAUUGGUGAAGAAUCAACUUGUGUUUUGUAGAGAGAAGUCCUGCUCCCCAAUCUCUUGGAGGUCACUAACAAGCUAGCAAGGACAUGGGAAAGAUGAGCUGGCUUUCAGGAAAUCUUGCUUUCCAAAAGGAGGUUGAUAAGAUCCCUCAUCAAAGCUGUGGCAGAAGCUGAGACGGCAAGGAUUAAGAGCGAAAGUCCUAUAUGACUUCCCACAGCUGAUUAAAAGAGAUGAAACAAAGUGUAAACACACGGCCAUUUUUCACAAUGGAGGAAGGUUACCAGCAGGGUCCCACAAGGAUCUGUGCUGUGCUGUUUGUAAAAGUGAUCCAGAUAAGGGAGUGAAUGGUGCAGGGACAAAGUUUAUUGACAAAAAAUAAAAAUAAAAUAGUCAAAGUAAAACCAGCUGCAAAGAACUGCAGAAGGGUAUUACAAAUUCUGAGUGCACAAUAAAAGGGAAAGGAUAUUUAAUGUUGGUACAAUGUAAAGUGGUGCACACAGGGAUAAACAGCCCUAACUAUACAUACACAAUGGGCUCUACACUGGCUCUGGUCCACCCAGGACAGAGACCUUGGAGUCACUGCGGAUAAUUCUCUGCGGGCACUUGGCUUAUUGGCAGUCAGAAAGGUGAAGAGAAAGACAGGAAUAAUUGUGAAGGAACAGAGAAAACAGAAAACGUCAUUACACCACCAUAUAAAUGAUGCAACUUCAUUUUAAAUACAGCUACCACUUCUGGUCAGCCCACCACAAACAAAGACAGAAGAACUAGAAAAGAUACAAAGCAGGGGGACAAUCACUGACAUGGAAUGGUUUCUGUACAAUGAAGGACCAGACAAAUCACGAGUCCCCAGACUGGAAAAAGAUAAAUGAGGGGGAACAAUACAGAUAUCUAUGCAACUGUGAGCAACAUGGAGAAAAUAUAUAGGAAAUGACUAAUCAUUAUUUCUCCAACGAAAGUAAAGAACGCCGACAUGGUUAUGACACAGCAGAUUAAAAACUAACAAAAGAAAAGUAUGUAUAUAUAAUCUGGUGCAAUGCAAAAUUGGACUGUGGAACUCACUGGCACAAAUAAUAAGAACAUUCAAAAUACGAAUGAACAAAUGCAAAGAAGAAAGGUUCAUCUAGGGAUACUAAAUGCAAUGGUAAAAUACAAUUUCCAGUCCUGGAAGUCUAUCACAUGCUGGCUGCCAAAAGCUCAGUGGAUGUGCUAGGAGUAAUAUGGCAGAGGUGAAAUCUCUAAGCAUCCUGUAUGCACCACCGCCAGAGGGAGGAUGACAGGCUUGGGUACCUCUGCUCUUGGGCUCUAACCACUUUUAUUGGAAGUGAGCUAUGAUAGCUUAGACAGUAGGUUUUUGUUAGCUUCAGUUAAAUGGAGCCAAACACCACAGGCAGGAAUUAGAGCAGCAUUUGGUGGCAGAACAGGUCAAUAGCCUUCACAGCAAUAAGCUACAGCAUGACAGAGGAUAUUAAGUUCACCAGUAGGCUCAUCUGCUGCUAAAACAUGAGAUCAAACCCUCAGGCUUCCCUGAAGCCACAUUUCUUGGACGCUUCCCUUCCCUUCUUCCAUUCCCAAUAGAGAGGGAGCUGCACUUCCAGGCUACUACUGUGCUUCCAGGAUGCAGCAGGCUAAACAAUCUGUGGAGAUCAGGCAGAAAAUUUUUUGCUUUGGGCUAAUACGAUCAAGGUCUGGUGGUCUACUUGACCUUAUACACCAAACCAAAAAAAUGCCAUGGGAUCUGAACACAAAACAGGACUUCUUAUUACACAGUUAAAUAUUGUUUCACUUUCUAAAACUUGCCUUUGGCAGCUAGCACUUUUUUGGUCAGAAAGAGAAUAAACUUCUAUUGCACUAACAAACCUAAUAGAAAUUUUUUUCUUCCUCCUAUCUCCCUUAGAAGGGAAGAAAAAAGACUUUAAGAAGUGCAAUGAGGGUAAACUGGUGCUCUUCCGAAAGCAACUGAUUAUAUAGUAAGAAAACAAUGACUCUGCACUAGAAUCAAUUAAAUAUUUGGUACAAGACAAUUAAACAUGGAGUUAAAAACUGCCUUUCUACCAUGCUACAUUGCAGAAUUGAGACCUUCUACUGAACAAAACUUCUCUUUGUUUCCAGUUCAUACACUUUCCUGUCCUGGUAAAUACAUAUUUAGACACACAUGCUAAAGUCAAAGAUUUAGUUUUCAAAGGUAGUAACUGAAGAACGAAAAAACUUCUGGGUCUUUCUAAAAAUUUUAUCAAUAUGAAUCAGGUAGGAUGCAAGCAGCAAACAGCUAAGACUGCUAUACGCUUGCAAGGAAGACAAGAACACAAAUAGAAGUUAACUAUAAAACAAGAUCCUUAAUCCUUACUCAAAAUGAUGUGUUUUUUUUCCACUAUCAAGUCUAAAAUACACAAUUCGAACACAAAAGCCAAAAUAAAAGAAGAAAAAUGAGAGUAACAGCCUCACUGCAAACUCACAAAUAAUGAUAAUUAUUAGUGCUUUUUCUUCUAAAUUACAUACUAUCUUUAGGGAGUUGCACUCCUAAUUACUUUAAUUUUAAAAUGCUACAAUUCACCUGGUAAAUAUUUUAACUUGCAUCUUUGUAGCAAAACUGACAAAACUAUUUAGCCAUCAAAACCACAGUAUUAAAAACAUCCCGAAAAAUCCAACAUAAUGAGCUAGUUAAGAUUAUACUUUCAUAAAAUAAAACAAUUUUCUAACAAUAAAUGUGUGCUGACUUACUGUAUAUGUAACAGAAAAUAAGAUUCUAUGUUUUUUCUUGCUUUGCUCUUGAAUAAUUAGGUUUCUCGAAUGAUGGCCUUUUAAUGGUAUUUUUGUUAAUUAGCAAUGUUAACUGUUUUUAUAUAUACACACGUUUAUACAUAUGCAUACAUACACACACACACCCCUAUAUUCCAAACAUCACAGAGCAGCGUUUACAACCUUAAUUGCUCCUUGCACUUAAAGGGAAAAAAAAGCAAACAAAAAAACCCAACUCCAAACACGGAGUUUAUAACUACUCAGAUGAAAUACAAACAAAGCAGCUGCUUUGAGGAACAUUUUACUCUCACACAGAUAAGGUCUUGUGUUUCUUUAAAUAUAUAUUUAGGCUUUACAAAGGAAAAAUAAACAUGAUACAAUGAAUUCUACCAAGGAAGUACUUAGGUGUAUAUUAUCUACUACGCUGUCUGUGACUGGUUGACCUACUGGUUAAAUAACAGCCUAGCAAGACGUUGUGACUUUGUUUUGCAAGGAUGUGAAACAAUCUUAGUUUUGUGUGUGGUCUUCCAAGUACUUUUAGAGCUAAAAAUCAAACUUCCAAGUGAAGCAUAGCUGAAAUUGCCAGAAUUUGAUGGUCUCUACAUAGAGGGGAAAAAAAAGUAGCACAUUUGAAAAUGGUUUGAGCAAUAGAAAGGAGGACAGAAUUCAGGAAAAUUUAACUCUGUGUCAAUGAACUGUAUUUUGAGUGGUGUUAAGAAAAAGAGAAGAUUUGUGGAACGAGGGUCUGCUAUAAAUGUAGUAAACAGCUUUCCCUGGGUAAAACUGCAUUAAAAAAAAAAAAAAGGCUGGAUGGAAAAGAAUGAAGUGUUUGAACAACUAUCUGGGAAGACGACUUCAAGUUCUUUCUAGAAGUACAACUAUUACUUCCGUAAGACUCUAUCACUCUGUGAAGGUCAUUUCAGCUGUUUCAUGCAUAAAAUGAAGAUUAUAUACUCACUUUUGUAAAGAUAACUGAAAUAUCAGUGAGGAGAAGUAAUUUUAAGAUACAAAACUUUCUUGUCUCUUCAUGGAAGUUAGUAAAAUGGUGGUUUGUUUUUACUUCAUGGAUGACUACGGGACUCUCAAACUGGAGAAAGCAGUAAAGAAGUGCAAACUUUUUUUGUUGUUGUUGUUUGUUUGUUUAGAAGCUUUUCAAUCUUAUUUUAAAGAGAAUACUUUAAAUUCUUAAAUUCCUUUGAAUUUUUAAGAUAUAUAUUUUUAAAGAAAAAAAUCUUGCUAGAACUUACUUUGAAAAAAAUAUUUUCUAGAAGACCAGAGAUAAUUUACAGGUGUGUAAAAAUCAAUAAUCAAAACAAGUAAAAUUUGGUGAUCUUUUUCUGGCAUAUCAAUACAUAUGCUGAGCAGAUGCAUAUAGAACUGCAUUCACAGUUAACUAUAUAAUUAAAAAAAUCUACUACGGAUUUUUAGUUGGUAGCUGCAGACAGUUAGUUUAAGACAACAGUAUUGAACUAACAUCACCAAGACCAGAAAAAGACCUGGCAAUUUCUGUCAGGAAAAUCAUAAAUAAUUCCCUAAGCCGCUCUAUGCCCUGACAUUGUACAGAGUGCAGCAUAUGUGCUAAUGAUUCUGCAGAACAGUCAUUAGGCUUCAGAGCCUCUGCAACCAUAUAUAAAAAAAUCUCUCAGCCUCCUACAAUAUGUAAUAGAACUAAGAGAUAUCAUGAUUUACUGGCAGAAGGGCCAGAGACACAGAAGCAGCUUUAUGUCCAAGCUCUCCUCAGAAUUACUGAAUGUUUACAAAACAAUCUACUGACAAAGGGUUGGGAGAACAUAGAAAAAAACAAACCACCAAACCACACUAUGUGGAAGAAAAUAACACAAUUAACUUCAUAAUCUCCUUGCAAUGUGAACUGUGGGCAUCCUGUUAGUGAUAUAAUUUUAGCUGUUAGCAGUGUAAUUACAGCUGCAACUGUGCAACAGAUGUGAAUACGAUUUACCCUGUACAGAGCACCGUUUUUUCUUCUCUAUCCUCGAACUUCAGAAAAUCUGCUGAUAUUAGGCAACAUCCAUUCUGAUGGCAAAUUUUCUAAUCUUUACUCAAUUUCCAUAAAUCAGACUGCUGGGUUAACACGAGUAAUAGGGAACUUUUUUAUGAGUAUCUGGACUGUUUUAUAUAUACCUUUAUGUCUCUUUCUACAAAUAAACAGAACAAAGUUACUAAUAAUUACCCAAUAUUCAGCUGCAAGAUAUUAAAUAUUUAUCAUGAAAAAGUGACCUCUGAGGAAUGGGCAAGGAGACACUAUUGAAAAAGUUCUUACAGCUAGGCUAUCAACUAAAGCGGUAUCCCUCAUAUUUGCAGCUCUUCCUAUGGAAGUUUUCAGGCUGGACUGAAUCCUUUUAGUUGUCUCCCCGUAUGGAGCAAUUCAGAAAUGGCAGGAACAUGCCAAAAAUGCCUUAACAUCUCAGGCUGUAUGAAAAAAUACAGCUCACUGAUGACUGCUCUCUAGAUAUUUUCCUUCCCUUUUACCUUUUUAUUACCUCUGUUUACUUCCUUUUGAGGAAGGAGAUGAGAGGAGAGAGAUUUAGGCAUAAUUCUUAUUUUUGUUCCCCCAUUUGUGGAUUAAAAAGGGAAGCAAAAUGUGGAGCAUUGGACUCCUUUUCAUAUACCAGUGUGAAUCAUGCAGAUGUUAUAUUUAUACUAGGAAAUAAGGAUUCCCCACAAAUUAUUCUCCCCUUGGGACUGAUAUAAGUCAGACUCAAAUUCAAGCUUCAGCUGCUGCUAGUCAAGGUGGAGUGCAGCAGAGCUACAGAUUUGAACAACUCUGGCCUUGAAUUUUAGUAAACACUUUAAACUUGGUCCUACUCAUAAGCUUUACUGCUUUAUAGAUUGGCCAACUCUUCACAUUUCCUGCCUCUUUUCAAAGUUUUUGUUUGUUUCUUUUGAAAGAGGGAGAAUGAUGUGCUGAAGUACCAAAACUGUAGUUAUCCCAGAUAUCACAAACUAAGUACCUACUUUUCCCUUCUGUACCGUGACCAAAUGACCUCUCUUUCAGGAAGGAGACAAGUAUCAUCCACAUGAUCUAGAUUUGUUGUUAAGAAAAAUGUAGUGAUCGUUGUAAGAACGUCAUGUGGAUGAAAACCAGUAACAAGAUAAUGGAAAAAGGAAAAAAGGACAUGUGCCUGUGUACUUGUGUUGGUCCUUCAAGAGACAAUUUUCUUCAGUGACUUUGAACACCUAAAAACAUUCAAUUGAUCAUAAGCCCAGGCUUGGACUAUUGCAGGUUGACAUGACAAGGUAUUUUAACCUUGAAGAAGCUGGUAACCACCCAGUUCACUUCAGCAAGACAAGCAGAAGCACAAACUGAAAAGUCAAGACUGUGACAGUGGCAAAGCUUUCGGGAAAUCAACAGGAAUGCAGGCAAUUAAAACAAAACAAAAAGUUACAAGCAGCUGUGUGUGUUAAUCUGCCUCCAGCUCCCCUGCUAAUACUUUCCAUUCUGUAAUAAUAUCCUCAUUGUCCAGAUUAUUUUUUCCUAAAGAAUACCAACUGACUACUCUAAAAGGACAGUGACUGCAGAAAAAAAGUAUCACUUUUCUUCUUUGAAACUCUAACAUAGAUGUUUUAUUUAUAAUUAGCAAGUAAAACAAUUUUAAAGUACAGUAAUUUUAAAACUGUCAGAACUCCUUAGUAUUUCACACUGUUUAAUUAACCGUCCGUGUGCUUUCCACAAUUCCUAGUUUGUGACAGCUACUCAGACCGGUACCAGCUUUUUGUUAAAUUGAAAUACUUGGGCAGAUAAAUUACUUUCAAAAGAUGAUGGAAAAUCAGGUGGGCAUGUACUGACAGAAUUUCUCUCACUAAGAACUAAUUUGCAGAAAUCUGGGCACGGUGAUUAAAGAUGUAAGGAUGAAGGUCUACCAGAAAUGGUGAAGGAAAUAUGUUUUGUUUCCUGUUACAAUAUAUUUACCAGUACUGUAAUGGGGUAAAAUCUUUAUUUUAUAUACAAAUCUAAGAAAUUUGAUGCUGUGAAGUUUGGAAGGCAGGCACAACAGCGAGAUUUCAGCCUCUCUAGUGAAGUGACUGUCUUCACGCAGGAAUGCAGCGUGCAUCCCUGCCUGUCCCGAGGGAUUCAGUCUCUACACCAAAAGCAGAACACGAGAGCCCUGGCACCACUUAAACUGUGCUAAAACGCAGUGAGUGGCACAAAGGCCCCUUGGUGGCAUUACUUUUAUUCCAUGUGCUCUUCAUAGUGUAAUAUUUCCUGUAUCUGCUGGGAGUUUCAAGUUGUAACGAUCAUGUUGAAAUAUUUCUACCUCUCCUUAACAGUCUAUCACACACAUUAACAAAGACCACUCAUGACCUAUGUCGGGCAUGCUUCUUGCACUAUUUGUAUCACCCCAACCAACAAAGUGCUCUGACACAAUGGCCUUAAAAACACAUUUCCUUCUGAAACUAGGGUGCUGCAGUAUGAGAAAAUCCUUUCCCUAGAAAGUGACACCAGUGAUUUCUGUCACUUGUGUGUGUGUGUGUGUAUGGCAACAGAAGGGAGGAAAGAAUAACCUUUAGUAAUAAAUAUGGGCCUCCUACCAGGAGAUUUUUCACAAAGACUGAAAGUAAAAAGGUUAGCAAUUACAAACUUUAAUACUACAGGAACUCUACCAGCUUCCAGGCUCUCUUUGUGGAAUGAAGUAAGGCUCUAAACACCAGUAUCAGACUCCUAAAACAAUGCUAGGAACACACCACCUGGCCAGCCUUGACGUACCUCCCAACUGCUGUAAGAUAUGGUCUUAAUUCACUCCACACUGUAGCGUUUGCCGGAGUCAGUAAAUACCAGUGGUAUGGGGAGAGAUUUAAACAUGCUAAGGUGUUGCCCGUAAUGCUUUCCAAUAGAAGUUUAGAGGAAAAGAUGAAGGGAGAAAUAAGAUAGAUUGAUCAGCUUGAUCUGAAGAAAAAAAAAAUAAAAAAGAGAUGUGACAAUGAAAUAACUCUGACCCUAAAAUAAACUCAUCUAAUCUCACUGUUUGUUGAAAAGUAAUCUGAAAUCAAAGUUUGUUUGCAAUCACUGGAAUCAUCCAUUUCUAGAUAUUCCUAAACAGAGAUGAGGGAAAAACAACCUAGGAAGCAAAAAAAAAAUAGUAUGAAAAGCAAUCUUUUCCUUUUGAAAUCUGAAUUAUCUCACAACUCUAAGCAUUUGCAACCUGAGUUGAGUUAGCCACAUCUGAAUUCAACAGGAAGACAAAUACUCACCUCUUUCUACCCUACUAUGGCAUGGAUAACUGUCUAGAGGUGUCUUCACUGAAUCCAGGGUGAGAAUAUACGUGUCAAUUUUUAGAUGUUUGGAAUUAGCUAAGAUAAGUAUCACUG